AAUUAAGCAUAUCAAUAAGCGGAGGAAAAGAAACCAACAGGGAUUGCCCUAGUAACGGCGAGUGAAGCGGCAACAGCUCAAAUUUGAAAUCUGGCUCUUUUAGAGUCCGAGUUGUAAUUUGCAGAGGGCGCUUUGGCUUUGGCAGCGGUCCAAGUUCCUUGGAACAGGACGUCACAGAGGGUGAGAAUCCCGUACGUGGUCGCUGGCUAUUGCCGUGUAAAGCCCCUUCGACGAGUCGAGUUGUUUGGGAAUGCAGCUCUAAAUGGGAGGUACAUUUCUUCUAAAGCUAAAUAUUGGCCAGAGACCGAUAGCGCACAAGUAGAGUGAUCGAAAGAUGAAAAGCACUUUGGAAAGAGAGUCAAACAGCACGUGAAAUUGUUGAAAGGGAAGCGCUUGCAGCCAGACUUGCUUGCAGUUGCUCAUCCGGGCUUUUGCCCGGUGCACUCUUCUGCAGGCAGGCCAGCAUCAGUUUGGGCGGUAGGAUAAAGGUCUCUGUCACGUACCUCUCUUCGGGGAGGCCUUAUAGGGGAGACGACAUACUACCAGCCUGGACUGAGGUCCGCGCAUCUGCUAGGAUGCUGGCGUAAUGGCUGUAAGCGGCCCGUCUUGAAACACGGACCAAGGAGUCUAACAUCUAUGCGAGUGUUUGGGUGUCAAGCCCGAGCGCGUAAUGAAAGUGAACGGAGGUAGGAACCCGCAAGGGUGCACUAUCGACCGAUCCUGAUGUCUUCGGAAGGAUUUGAGUAAGAGCAUGGCUGUUGGGACCCGAAAGAUGGUGAACUAUGCUUGAAUAGGGUGAAGCCAGAGGAAACUCUGGUGGAGGCUCGCAGCGGUUCUGACGUGCAAAUCGAUCGUCAAAUUUGGGCAUAGGGGCGAAAGACUAAUCGAACUAUCUAGUAGCUGGUUCCUGCCAAU
rnacentral:rRNA from 1 species